rnacentral:rRNA from 1 species
UACGUAGGGUGCAAGCGUUGUCCGGAAUUAUUGGGCGUAAAGAGCUCGUAGGCGGUCUGUCGCGUCGGCUGUGAAAACUCGGGGCUCAACUCCGAGCUUGCAGUCGAUACGGGCAGGCUAGAGUUCGGCAGGGGAGACUGGAAUUCCUGGUGUAGCGGUGAAAUGCGCAGAUAUCAGGAAGAACACCCGUGGCGAAGGCGGUUCUCUGGGACGGUACUGACGCUGAGACGCGAAAGCGUGGGGAGCGAACAGG